CUUCAGGCCUAACACAUGCAAGUCGAGCGAGAAAGCCCGCAAGGGUGAGUACAGCGGCGCACGGGUGCGUAACACGUGAGUAAUCUGCCCUGGAGCCCGGAAUAACUCCCCGAAAGGGGUGCUAAUGCCGGAUGAGCCCACGGGGUCUUCGGACCUUGAGGGAAAAGGUGGCCUCUGUAUACAAGCUAUCACUUCAGGAUGAGCUCGCGGCCCAUCAGCUAGUUGGCGGGGUAAUGGCCCACCAAGGCUACGACGGGUAGCUGGUCUGAGAGGACGAUCAGCCACACUGGAACUGAGACACGGUCCAGACUCCUACGGGAGGCAGCAGUGGGGAAUCUUGCGCAAUGGGCGAAAGCCUGACGCAGCAACACCGCGUGUGUGAUGAAGGUCUUCGGAUCGUAAAGCACUGUCGCGAGGGACGAAUAAGGGUCGGGUGAACAAUCCGGUCCGAUGACGGUACCUCGAGAGGAAGCACCGGCUAACUCUGUGCCAGCAGCCGCGGUAAUACAGAGGGUGCAAGCGUUGUUCGGAAUUAUUGGCGUAAAGCGCGUGUAGGCGGCCAUGCAAGUUGGGUGUGAAAGCCCUCGGC
rnacentral:rRNA from 1 species